rnacentral:rRNA from 1 species
AUUGAACGCUGGCGGCAUGCCUUACACAUGCAAGUCGAACGGCAGCACGGGAGCUUGCUCCUGGUGGCGAGUGGCGAACGGGUGAGUAAUACAUCGGAACGUACCCUGAAGUGGGGGAUAACGUAGCGAAAGUUACGCUAAUACCGCAUAUUCUGUGAGCAGGAAAGAGGGGGAUCGCAAGACCUCUUGCUUUAGGAGCGGCCGAUGUCGGAUUAGCUAGUUGGUGAGGUAAAGGCUCACCAAGGCGACGAUCCGUAGCGGGUCUGAGAGGAUGAUCCGCCACACUGGGACUGAGACACGGCCCAGACUCCUACGGGAGGCAGCAGUGGGGAAUUUUGGACAAUGGGCGCAAGCCUGAUCCAGCCAUGCCGCGUGAGUGAAGAAGGCCUCGGGUUGUAAAGGCUCUUUCGGUUGGGGGUAAGGAAAAGUUA